UACGGAGGAUGCAAGCGUUAUCCGGACUGAUUGGGCGUAAAGCGUCCGCAGGUGGCUGUGUAAGUCUGCUGUCAAAGAGCGAAGCUCAACUUCGUAAAGGCAGUGGAAACUACACGGCUAGAGUGCGUUCGGGGCAGAGGGAAUUCCUGGUGUAGCGGUGAAAUGCGUAGAGAUCAGGAAGAACACCGGUGGCGAAGGCGCUCUGCUAGGCCGCAACUGACACUGAGGGACGAAAGCUAGGGGAGCGAAUGGG
rnacentral:rRNA from 1 species